rnacentral:lncRNA from 1 species
GGAAGUAAAAAUUCAGACACAUGUGUGUAAUUUGGGAAGCAUAAAUUCAGACACCUGAAAUCUGUGAGGAGCUAGAUGAAAACUCAAUGUAGCGCAAGAUAUGGUUUAAAUUGACCAGGUGAAGUCCAAUUGAGAAGAUACUAAGAAUGAUGGAGAAAAAACAAUUUGCCUACAAGUUAAUGUUCGAGAAGUUAUAUUUCUAUAUUAAAAAUAAAAAUGCAUUAGUAUUCAAAAACUAUAAAUACUAAAACGGUGCACCUGCACCACAUCUUAAAUCUUAAAAAUCCAACCAAUUAUCACAUAUAUAUCCACUAUUCAUUUGUCUCACAAAAUCACUAGGUAUUACUAAUUAGAGACUUUUUUGAAGCCUAUGUUAAUUCUCAUGAGGUAUACAAGAAAAAAAUAAUUAGAAAUUCCCACAGAAGGGUAAAACAUUCAUCCAACAAUUUUAUAGACAUUAAUAAAAAUCAACAAUAGUCAUUCGGUAUAUUCUACUUUUAAAAAAAUUCUGACCUUUGACAAAUAACCUAAAGUAACACAUGAUCUCCAUCUAAAUUAAACAUCUAUGUCAUUAUAAAAAAUAGCAUCCUACGGUUGUAUCUAAAUUACCCACAUCUACAUUAUUAAGAAUAACCCAUAAUAACCCCAC